rnacentral:rRNA from 1 species
UACGUAGGUGGCAAGCGUUGUCCGGAAUUACUGGGCGUAAAGAGUGCGUAGGCGGUUCUUUGUGUCCGCUGUGAAAGCCCCGGGCUUAACCUGGGAAUGGCAGUGGAAACUAGAGAACUUGAAUCUGGCAGAGGGGGGUGGAAUGCCACGUGUAGCAGUGAAAUGCGUAGAUAUCUGGAGGAACACCGGUGGCGAAGGCGGCAUCCUGGACCGGCAUUGACGCUGAGGCGCGAAAGCCAGGGGAGCAAACGGG